UUAAAUGUAAUGAAGGGAAGAAGUAUAUUAAGUAAAAUUUUUAGAGAGAAGUUCUCAAAGGCUGAGAGGAACUUUAAAUAGAGCUUAAUGGGAGUGCAUCCUGGAGCGCUGGAUUGAAUUAUAGUAGAUUUAAGCAGGUACGCCUGUUAUAGCGUAAAAGUAUUGUUGUACUUUAUAUGAGAUACUAUGUUUUAUUUAUGCAUGGUAAUCAGAGUGGAAUCGCGGAAAAAGUCUGCCUCUGUU
rnacentral:ncRNA from 1 species